CUUGGACAAAGGUGGUCUAUUAACAAAAUAGUAGAUACCACAUAACUAUGGAGUCUAAAGUAAGAUGCUAAAGCAUUUCAAUAACAUUAGAAGAGGACGGGCCUCAAGCCAGUGCUGCCAGAAUUUGGUGAUCACCUCCUCCAACCACAUAAAAGAUUGAGGUUGAAAAAUAAUCAGAAGAGAAAACUUCUUUGGAAAAAGUUGUUGAGUAUUUUACUUCUCCUCAGAUGAAGAUAUAAGGAGAUACUGAAGGAUUUUAAUCUGAGCGGAGGCAUAAACAUAUUUUGGAGUUUUCAUCUUUGAUCAUUUUUGCCUGCAAGUGUGGGGAGUAGAUUGAAUAAGGAAGAAAUUAGAGAUAGAAAAAUCAAUUAAGAGGUAACUCUGAGAUAGAUAAUCUAUAAAAUCAGUGGAAGAAGAAUUAAAAUUCUUCAACAACUCAUCAAAAGCAUCUAGAUCCAAAAUGCUGGUUGUCUUUCAUCUAAAACAGUCUCAGAGACCAAUUCUACCUGGUUGGCUGUCUGUGACUCACUCCGCUCAAGUUCACAGGAUUCUGAUUAAUUAGCAGGGCAAGUUUCUACCCUGCAUUAUUUAUCACACAAUCUCCAGUUUCAAGACUUCCAGUAUCAACUCUAUGGGCCAAACAAUACAACAUACAGUGACUUGUAAAGAGUUCUUUUCAAAUAAACUCAGCUUCAAAACAACCAACACCCACGCUAGUCUGCAAUGGGUAGUCCUCUUCUGCCCAGACACGUCAUCAAACAGUACAGUGAUGAUAUAAGCCAGAGUUAACAACCCAAUAGCUUGAUUUCCCUGGAGAUAAAGAGAAAGUAUCUUUGUGUGACUUGGAUUUUCCCGAGAAUAUUUAGGAACCUAGACAAGUUUUCAAACAUGACUAGGACCAGACUGCCUCUUUGCUUAUGAAUGUCCCUCUCCUGGUUGAGGAGACUGCUUAAUGGCGCAGGCUGGAGAUCAUACCCAGCUCUACACUAACUCAGCAACUCAAAAGCCAAGCAAGAGGAAUCCUGGGCCGAUCUCUCCUCACUCCAUGCAAAUCUGCUUUGGCUCAGCUGGGUGUCCAGUGGGCUGAGUCAUGUAAUUACACCAUGGGAAACAGAAGACGGGACUGCGCUUACAUGCUACCAACUGAUCCCAUAAGCUCCAUUAUUUAUUUUAAUAAAACAUGGUUGUGCUUG
rnacentral:lncRNA from 1 species